GGCUCAGAUUGAACGCUGGCGGCAUGCCUUACACAUGCAAGUCGAACGGCAGCGCGGGGCAACCUGGCGGCGAGUGGCGAACGGGUGAGUAAUAUAUCGGAACGUACCCUGGAGUGGGGGAUAACGUAGCGAAAGUUACGCUAAUACCGCAUACGAUCUAAGGAUGAAAGUGGGGGAUCGCAAGACCUCAUGCUCCUGGAGCGGCCGAUAUCUGAUUAGCUAGUUGGUAGGGUAAAAGCCUACCAAGGCAUCGAUCAGUAGCUGGUCUGAGAGGACGACCAGCCACACUGGAACUGAGACACGGUCCAGACUCCUACGGGAGGCAGCAGUGGGGAAUUUUGGACAAUGGGCGCAAGCCUGAUCCAGCAAUGCCGCGUGAGUGAAGAAGGCCUUCGGGUUGUAAAGCUCUUUUGUCAGGGAAGAAACGGUGGAGGCUAA
rnacentral:rRNA from 1 species